UUUUAAAAACAUGUCUGCAAAUUUUUUAACACUGCUCCUAUCAGAAGGUAAUUCUUCCCUGCACAGGGGCUGACUUUAGUAACUUGCCUUUGACAAAUGCAGCAAAAGUGAUGCUGUAUGAUUUCUGAAGCUAAGUGAAAAAUUGUUUAUUAUAUAAUUUUCUCUGUCCUCGCUCCCUCUCUUCUUUCACCCCUCUCUCCCUCCCCAUUUCUCUCUCUCUCUCUUUCUUCCUCUCUUUUUCUCUCCUUCACUCCCUACCUCCUUCUCCCCUGUUUGAAAGCCAGCCAUUAUAUGACAAGGAAGCCACUUGUCCCUGGAAAAUUCUCUCUAGGUGUAACGGAGCAGCAAUAAAUGCAGUGUCAGCAGACAGCCAGCAUCAACCACCAGACAGCUUUCUGCUCUGCUGGCCUAGAGCUCUUAGUUCCAGAGGGAAGAAUGCUUCUACCAGUAGACACAAUAAUGAUUCCAUUGAACUGAAAAUUAAGACUGCCACCUAGCCACUUUGGGUUUCUCAUACCAUUGAAUCAACAAACAGUGUUGGUUGGGAUGAUUGAUCCCGAAUACCAAGGGAAAAUUGGAUGGAUAUUCCACAAUGGAGAUGCAAAUAAAGAAGUGUAUGGCCCAGUUGCUGAUAGUGGACAACGUGCAACCAGCCUGUGGUCAAAACAAACACAUGGAAGAGAGCAGAGCCAAGAGUAUUACAGAGAAAUGGAGUUGGAGCCUUGAUCAAAUUGAUCCUGAAGGCAUAAAGUCUUGAGAAUUUUCAGUUAUGUCAACUAAAAAAUAUCCCUUUAUUGUUUAAGCCAGUUUGGGUUAAUUUAACGUGA